CAGGGGCAGCAAUCCAACAACCAGUUGUCUGAUUCGUCUGAAAAUUUCAGGGCAGAUAGAUCUUGACUUGAUUAACAAUUUAACCCAGUCAGAUUUGCUCUAAAUGCUUUGGUUUCAGAAUUAUAAGCCAAAAUCUACAUUUUACCCCUAUGUUCUAUUUUUAGUCAUAGCCACCAUCUUGGUUAGUUGACCCGAUCACCCCACACAUUUUUUAAACUAGAUACACCAAUGAUAAUUGUGGUCAAGUUUGGUUAAACUUGGUCCAGUAGUUUCAGAGGAGAGGAUUUUUCUAAAAGAUUACAAAAUACUACUAAAGAGUGGUAAAAAAUGACUGUAAAGGGCAAUAACUCCUUAAGGGGUCAACUGACCAUUUUGGUCA
rnacentral:lncRNA from 1 species